CCACUGGGACUGAGACACUGCCCAGACUCCUACGGGAGGCUGCAGUCGAGAAUCAUCCGCAAUGGGCGCAAGCCUGACGGUGCGAUGCCGCGUGAGGGAUGACGGCCUUCGGGUUGUAAACCUCUGUCAGGAGGGACGAAGAAUGUGACGGUACCUCCAGAGGAAGCCACGGCUAACUACGUGCCAGCAGCCGCGGUAAUACGUAGGUGGCGAGCGUUAUUCGGAUUUACUGGGCGUAAAGGGUCCGCAGGGGGCUUGUCAAGUCUGAUGUGAAAUCCCGAGGCUCAACUUCGGAACUGCAUUGGAUACUGGCGAGCUAGAGUGCACGAGGGGUGACCGGAAUUUCAGGUGUAGCGGUGGAAUGCGUAGAUAUCUGGAAGAACACCGAUGGCGAAGGCGGCUCACUGGCGUGCUACUGACCCUCAUGGACGAAAGCGUGGGUAGCAAACAGGAUUAGAUACCCUGGUAGUCCACGCUGUAAACGUUGCGCACUAGAUGUGAGGGGAUCUGAUCCCUCUCGUGUCCAAGCUAACGCGUUAAGUGCACCGCCUGGGGACUACGGCCGCAAGGUUAAAACUCAAAGGAAUUGACGGGGGCCCGCACAAGCGGUGGAGCAUGUGGCUCAAUUCGAGGCAACGCGAAGAACCUUACCUGGGUUUGACAUAAUCCUGAUCGCUGUGGAAACGCAGCUUCCCUUCGGGGCAGGAUUACAGGUGCUGCAUGGCUGUCGUCAGCUCGUGCCGUGAGGUGUUCGGUUAAGUCCGGCAACGAGCGCAACCCGUGUCGUCAGUUGCCAUCAGGUUAUGCUGGGCACUCUGGCGAGACUGCCCGUGUCAAGCGGGAGGAAGGCGCGGAUGACGUCAAGUCCGUAUGGCCCUUACGUCCAGGGCUGCACACGUGCUACAAUGGGCGGUACAAUGAGAAGCAAUACCGCGAGGUGGAGCAAAUCUGUAAAAACCGUCCCCAGUUCGGAUUGGAGUCUGCAACUCGACUCCAUGAAGUCGGAAUCGCUAGUAAAGGGGUAUCAGCAACGGCCCCUUGAAUACGUUCCCGGGCCUUGUACACACCGCCCGUCACAUCAUGGAAGCUGGCUGCACCCGAAGUCCACGACCUAACCCUCGGGAAGGAGUGGCGGAAGGUGUGUCCAGUAACUGGGAUGAAGUCGUAACAAGGUAGCCGUAGGGGAACCUGCGGCUG
rnacentral:rRNA from 1 species